rnacentral:tRNA from 1 species
GUUGUUAUAGCAUAAGAAAGUGCACCUGUUUUAAGCGCAGGAGAUAUGGAACAACU